GCAGAAUUAGGCAGCACACAAGCUGCAAAUUUUGAUCAACAUUGUUAGGCAAAAUUAGGCAAUGUUAGGCAAGUCAAAGUUAGGCAUUGAAGAACAAUUUAUUGUUUGAUCCCUAAACUUUAGACUAACUACAAAAUGACCCCUAAUACUCAACUAUAAAUAGGGAGGUCAUUUGCCAUUCUUGUCAUCCCAAAUCAUUCUAUUCUUCCCUCAUAUACUAGAGGUAUUUGAGAGUUUGUUGAGGGUAUUUCUCCUUCCUAGCAAGAGAGAAUUAUCCUUGUUUUCUCCUUGUUAGUUAGAGAGUGGUUGUAACUCAUAUUUCUCAUAGUGAAAUUCUUCUACCCUUGCCCGUGGUUUUUACCCUAAUUUGUUUAGGGGUUUUCCACGUAAAAUCUGUGCCUCAUUUAUUUUUACUUUCUCAAAUUAUUGUUGCAAUCUGAUCUAUCCCACUUCCACGGGCGCAACAUAUAUAGCUUCAAGAAAGAAGCAAAGGGAAUGCGUGUCUGAGCUCUGAUGUGUGCCAGUCUGAUAUGAGAAGCAUAGGGAAUCCGAAUGAAAGCUUCCCUCAUCUCAUCUCCCCUCAUUUAUAAGAACAUUAAUGUGACCUCAACUUCCCUCAUCUCAUCUCUCUCAUCUCAUGCCUUGAAAGUAUAGGUUUACCAACAUAGCUCAAGCUAUAUUUCUCACUCAUUCUAAAUUUAUGCUAGACAAUCCAUGUUUCUCUUUACACCAUAUACAUAUAUAUAUAUAUAUAUAUAUAUAUAUAUAUAUAUAUAUAUAUAUAUAUAUCAAAAGUUCUUAAUAAAACUUUUUAAUUAUAUAUUUGUAUACAUUAAGAAAAAGAAAAAAAUUAUAUUUAAAAAAAAGUAUAAAGAGAAAAAAUAGGGAUAUCAUGGGUGCAUAUUACUCCACGAUAUAAAUAUUGCAUAGUUUUAGUCCUCUUUUCAAUACCUAGAGAUGGGCUUAAUUGAAAUUAUUUGCACCAAAAUCCAAAAUUUGAAUUGAAUUUUGAAUUUGAGGUAAAUCAGAGUGAUAUUUUUAUUUAUGAUUUAUCUAAAUAUAAAUUUGAUUUGAAUAUUAAGUGUUAAAAUAUCAUACAUUCCCAACCUAAAAUCUGAACUAACCUAUAUAUAUAUAUAUAUAUAUAUAUAUAUAUAUAUAUAUAUAUAUAGACUAUUAAAUAUAUUUUAUAAUUAAUAUUCUAUUAAUUUUUAAAACUCUCUGAGUUAAUUAUUAGUAUUUUGUUUAUUUUUAGUUUGAUAGCAUACCAGGAAAAAAAAUAAAAACACCAAUAAUAAAAUUAUUUAAAAAAUAAAAAAAAAACUAAUAAAAAUACAAUUUUGGGUAUACCUAACUAAGUCAAAAUAAUUUCACCCCGAAUCAAAUAUAUUCAAAUUAAAUUUGAUUAUGGAAUCAGGUGUAAAAAACAAACACUCAAAAUUUUCAAAUAUCAAAAAUAAAAUUCAAAUAUUACCCAAAUCCAACCCAUGUCAACCCAUGCACUUAUUCCGUAAUUACCCCUCCAUAGUUUGAAAGGGUGAGAGAGGUGUUUUUCAUUAAGUUCCAAGGCAAGUACUGCUUUUAAGAAUUCGUGGCAACAUAAUGUGCAUCACUCCAAAAUUAAAUUAUUGAUUUAGUUUUAGUCCUUUGUUCACUUAGCCCUUCAUUUUUAAAUUUAUUGUUGUAGUACCAAUAUAAGGAAUUUUUUUUUUGGGCACAACUUUUUGAUCCAUACGAAAGGGUUUUGCGGUUUUGUAAAGGUGAAAACAAAGAGUUACUCCGUAUUUUUCUUCCAAAAUUAUUACUUAAAGUAGUAAUAGUUGAUGUGAAGUUAAAUAUUAGAUAAUAUCUACUCAAAAAAAAUUAGAUAAUAUAGUUGUACAAAUAAAGGGGAAACAACAUUAAUUUUUUUAGUUAGAUCACGAGGUGUUCUGAAUAGGCCUUAAUUAUAGGAGGAAUCUGAAUAGGCCUUAAUUAUAGGAGGAAUCUUUAAACCUUUAUAGUACUGGGCUGACCAAUUAAGAGACAAAGUGUUGGUCAUAUGUUAAAUAUUUAUCAAUACCACAUAAGUUAGAAUAAAUGAAGUUCGCUUUUAAAUUUCAUAUUUUUUUUUGUUGCACUAUAUGUCAUAUGUUACAACUACUGCAUUCCGGAACAGCUGGCCUGGUGACUUAAGGCUGCUCUAUACCUAAACCAAGGAUUGCACUCUUGCUCUUUGGUUAAGGAUGUAUGAGUCUCUUCACUCAACCACAUCCCCAUGUUAUCAUUUACUAUCUAUACAUUUAUUGCUAUCCAUCACAUUGUCUUUGUUAGGUUACCAUCAACAUGUCAUCUUUAGAAAGGUGCACACUAAGAUAUUAUUAAGGUUGGUAAAUUAAUUGAAUAGCAUAUUGAGUUUUAGGUAAUUUAAUUUGUAUAAAGACUUGCAUAGUAUUUUUAAUUUUGAAUAUUUUGACAUCUACUGAAAUUAAAUUAGAAAUUUCCUUGUGGGAAUAAGUAAAUAAAAGUUGGUAAACAUAACUAUGUAAAAAGGGAGUAUGGGAAUUUAAUGGUGGAGAGGUGACAUGACUUACAAAGUAGUUCCUCAUGGGUAGAAAAACAAAAGAUGGAAAGAGAUGCAAGAGUUUGAAUGUAGUACUAAACAUAUGGUCAUAUAAAAAUUAAGAUGGUCAAAUUAACAAAUCAUAUAUAUAUAAUAAAUGUGUUUUAUGGUAAAUAAAUUUGAAAGGUGAUGUUUAUUUGAAUUGAAACACACCUAAUUAUGUAAGAAAAAUUUCAUUUUACCAUUCAACAUUAGAAUUAAUGUAUUAUAAUUUAGGGGGUGUAUUCAAUCAUGACUUUUAUAGAUUUUUAAAGAUUUUUAUCAACUUUAAAAGUUUGGCGGUAUUCAAUUUAGACUUUUAAUAACUCUUUAAAAGUUUACCAGUAUUGGAUUCAGACUUUUCAAAACUCUUUAAAAGUAUACUGGUAUGCGAUCCAGACUUUUAUAGAGUAUUUAAAAGUAUACUGGUAUUCAAAAAGUUAAUAACUUUCAUUGACUUUGUAUCAUCUCACAAAAAACUCUACAAAAGUUAAUUAAAAUUCAUCAUUUUAAAAGUAUUUAAAAGUUGUUUUUGUAAGAUGAUACAGAUGUUUGGCUCGACAUUUUUUUUUUCAAUUUACUACCUUAAGACGUGCCCUCAUCUUCCUAUAUCAUGUUUGUGUGGAUCUUUUUAGUUGGAUUGUUGAUAUGUUUCUUCUCCUUUAAUUCGUGACAGACUAUAAUGGGGUUAGCAUCAAUUAAUGCAAUUACCAACUUCACUUUAAGGAUUAUGUAAAAGAAUGUAAUUAGUUUUGUAUGCAUUCGGAUAUCAGUCAUAUUCAUCCAUUUAGAGUUAAUUAUUAGUUUUACACUAUAUGAGCUAUUUGGUUUAUUUAUUAAAAUUAUGGGUUACAUAUUGGACCUUGUUCUUUAAAUUAAAGCAAAAAAUAGACGUUUUGAGCUUGUAUCGGAUAUUAUGGAAACAUUUUUAGUAUAUAUAGAGAAAAUUUACCAUGCUCAUAGACAUA